rnacentral:tRNA from 1 species
UGGGGCGUGGCCAAGUGGUAAGGCAACGGUUUUUGGUACCGUCGAGCGCAGGUUCGAGUCCUGCCGCCCCAA